AGAGUUUGAUCAUGGCUCAGAACGAACGCUGGCGGCGUGGAUUAGGCAUGCAAGUCGAACGCGAAUGAGGGGGAAACCCCUCUAGUAGAGUGGCGAACGGGUGAGUAACGCGUGAAGAACCUGCCUUCAACAGGGGGAUAACACUCCCAACGGGGUGCUAAUACCGCAUGAGACCACGGAUCUGCAUAGAUCUGAGGUCAAAGGUGGCCUCUGCUUGCAAGCUACCGGUUGAAGAUGGCUUCGCGUCCCAUUAGCUAGUUGGCGGUGUAACGGACCACCAAGGCGACGAUGGGUAGCUGGUCUGAGAGGAUGGUCAGCCACACUGGGACUGAGAUACGGCCCAGACUCCUACGGGAGGCAGCAGUCGAGAGGCUUUGGCAAUGGGGGAAACCCUGACCAAGCGACGCCGCGUGGAGGAUGAAGGCCCUUGGGUUGUAAACUCCUUUUGUCGGGGAAGAAAUGCGAUCAGGUGAAUAAUCUGGUCGUUUGACGGUACCCGGCGAAUAGU
rnacentral:rRNA from 1 species